UUGGAAACACAGGAAGGAGCAAUCAGCUAAGUGAGCUUAGUGCUUGGAAAAAAUCUUUCAUUUGUCAACAAUGGGUGUUGAGGUUGCAGAGAUAAGUGAAGCUGAGAUAAGUUCCGACUGAUUUAAUUGGCCAACUAAGGCAAAAAUCCAAAUUGUGACAACCUGCUUGUUGCACAGAGCUGGCUGCACCGUUAUUCAUAAAUCCUCCUGCUUCUUCACAGCUCAAGACACGCCUUCUUUACGCCCAUUGAACACAUGCACUUACCUGAUUGGUCCGCUGUUCAAUCUGACUCCUAGCUCCAGUUUGAAAAUGUCAGUGUCUCAGCAGACAGCGUAACAGAAACAGCUGCUGCUAUUACUUCUGCAUAUUCCGUUCUGUCGACCAGUAACAAAGUCAGUCCGAGGCCGUUUAAUCCCUCGUGCUUUCAGUAUUUUGCCUCUGUUCUGGAUCCCACCGAUCAUUAACAAAAAAAGAGAAAAACAAACAACUCCUUUCUGUGCUCCUGCCGUGCCGACGUGUCAUCACAAUUACCCGGAAGCCGGUGACGUUACAGUUAAAGAUCCUCCUGAAACCAACAACAGAAAACUUGAUCCAGUUCCUGCCUCUAAGCAAGAUUUGUUUCUCAUCUGACCUCUCUUGCUGUGGGGCAAUUUAUAUUGGAGCCAUUCUAACUUGGAUUAUAAUGGACAUUUAUUUUUUGGAGAAGAAUU